rnacentral:rRNA from 1 species
GACGAAGGAUGCAAGCGUUAUCCGGAUUCAUUGGGUUUAAAGGGAGCGUAGGUGGCCUUAUAAGUCAGUGGUGAAAUCUCGAGGCUUAACCUCGAAAUUGCCAUUGAUACUGUAGGGCUUGAGUAUAGUUGCCGUUGGCGGAAUAUGACAUGUAGUGGUGAAAUACAUAGAGAUGUCAUAGAACACCGAUUGCGAAGGCAGCUAACGAAACUAUAACUGACACUGAGGCUCGAAGUGCGGGGAUCAAACAGG